rnacentral:misc_RNA from 1 species
AAGUCGUAACAAGGUUUCCGUAGGUGAACCUGCGGAAGGAUCAUUGCCGAACGGACGCGCGCUCGAAGGCCCCCUCGCGGGUCGAGGGCCGCGUCUUAUCGCACACCCAUGUGAAUUCGUGAUCGUGACCCUGGACGGUGUUAGUUGUUGAGCUCAGGCUCGCCGAUGCCGAUCCGGCUCCUUUCAACCCAAUCAACAAACCACGUUGUCAAAAACCUCUUGACUGAGACGAAUGGGUCGACGCCCAACAAGCGCCUGACUCGACAAGACAUAACCUAUCACAACUUUUAACAACGGAUAUCUUGGCUCGC